UCACCCAACUUGUAAGAGGAAGUUCUAGGAUCCUAUCACAGGCAGCUCAAGCCUUUGGCAGGUGCACCGCACACACAACCUUAGUACCUAAUCCUAACCUCUACUGUUCACGCAACAUGCUGUGUGGAAGUUACCUAUUUGAUCCUCUGCUUUCCUCCAAAAGACCGUGAGUUCACUAAACACAUCAGCCUUAUUUUAGUCCUCUCUGUGUCCCCGCCGCCUGGCCCAGAUGCUAACAUGCACCAGGAGGUCAGCAGAUAAAUAACCAGGAGUAGCAGAUAAAUAACCAAAGACAUGAACCAAUGCACCUCCACCUCUGCCUUCCUGGUACCCAGCACAGGGCCUGGCACACAGGGGCUGUUCAACAAAUAUUUGCUCAAGAGGAUGGUCAACAUUUUCCACGAGCAGCAUUACUUUCCAGCAAGAGAGGAUACUACGUUGUCCAGUGCUUCUGUCCACCAGCUCCAGGCGGGCGACAGUGCCAGCCCCUCCUCUGAGCUGUGACAGGAUGCCUCCUGGCUCUGAAAGAGUCCAGCUAAUUAGACUCGUGUCUGCCAACAGAGAGAGUGGACAAAUACUGAGAGGAAACUGUUAGCAGAGAAGAGGAGGAUAACCCGCUGGCGAGAGCAGUGACGAGAACAAUACAAUGACUACCACUCUGAGCGUCUACCAUGUUUGGGGAACUGUCCUAGGUGCUGAUUCAUAACAAACAGUGAGGCAUGUUAAGCACAAUAAAAUCGGGGUUUAUUCCUAGCUUG